CCUACGGGUGGCAGCAGUGGGGAAUAUUGGACAAUGGGCGAAAGCCUGAUCCAGCCAUGCCGCGUGUGUGAAGAAGGCCUUCGGGUUGUAAAGCACUUUCAGUGGGGAAGAAAGCCUUGGGGCUAAUACCCUCGAGGAAGGACAUCACCCACAGAAGAAGCACCGGCUAACUCCGGGCCAGCAGCCGCGGUAAUACGGAGGGUGCGAGCGUUAAUCGGAAUUACUGGGCGUAAAGCGCGCGUAGGCGGUCUGAUAAGCCGGUUGUGAAAGCCCCGGGCUCAACCUGGGAACGGCAUCCGGAACUGUCAGGCUAGAGUGCAGGAGAGGAAGGUAGAAUUCCCGGUGUAGCGGUGAAAUGCGUAGAGAUCGGGAGGAAUACCAGUGGCGAAGGCGGCCUUCUGGACUGACACUGACGCUGAGGUGCGAAAGCGUGGGUAGCAAACAGGAUUAGAUACCCGAGUAGUC
rnacentral:rRNA from 1 species